rnacentral:rRNA from 1 species
UACGUAGGGGGCUAGCGUUGUCCGGAAUUACUGGGCGUAAAGGGCGCGUAGGCGGCACUGUUAGUCAGGCGUGAAAUUCCUGGGCUCAACCUGGGGACUGCGCUUGAUACGGCGGAGCUAGAGGAUGGAAGAGGCUCGCGGAAUUCCCGGUGUAGUGGUGAAAUGCGUAGAUAUCGGGAGGAAUACCAGUGGCGAAGGCGGCCUUCUGGACGGAUACUGACGCUGAGGCGCGAAAAGCCAGGGGGAGCAAA